ensembl:lncRNA
GUGGCAAAGUGCUGACUGUACAUAAAAGUGCCAUACAAGUGCCAAAGUGACACCGUAAAAGUGUUCCGUAACGUCCUGCGGGGAACUUUUUGUCUCACCACGCUGGAGCUCGGAGCGGAUCCUCCAGCUGGAUGUAGCCUUUCUGUGUAAAACCCCUCCACUUACUUUCACCGUAUCAUACUAAAGUGUCCCAGAAAACACAUUGCCUAUAAGAUAUUGUAAAUGGGUCUAGAUAACAGUAUUAUUUAGGAUGUAAUAACUGUUGAUAUGUAGGACCUUUCGACUAGUGAAGGUCUAAUUUAGAUUAAUCUGUCUUUAGUGGCAACGCUGAUAACUGUUUGUUGCUUAGGUCCAAAUUAAAACAACACUUUGCUUGAAACAAGUGGCACCGACGUCGAGCUCCAGCCUGACAUCGUCCAGUAGACGAGGCUGGCCGUAGGUUACGGACCAGACCUGACCGUGCCUGGAGGCUAGGAGCUCCUCGUAGACCUCCUGACAACCCGUGCACCGUAACAUUCAACACACGCAGAGAAAAACACUACGUUUUCCGGGUCCGUCUGGUGCGCCGGCGAGCGUGGCGGCGCUUGCUUGACCUCGUAUUCACCUGCCGCGACAGGACUGUUUUGCCUUGUGAUGAGAAAAUAAUUUUGGAGCAUAAAUGUUUUGGGGCUUUUUUUUUUACAUCCUAUUUCUCUCAUUAUUCUCUUUGGAUGACCUUGCCUUGUGGUAACAGCAGAUUGACUUUUAUAGCAAAACUUACAGUUACAGAAGUAUUAACGUAUGAAGAGUUUACUGCUAAAAUAUGACAUUUCUGGGCAAAAUAACAACAACUCUUGGGGUUUAUCAUUCAAGAGACAUUUUGACAUCGGUGGACAGUUAUCCUGUAAAUACGCCCAUCAUUUGUUUUUUUUGCUAAUAAUUCUUUCGUACGGACAGUCACUUUUUUGUAAAUGAUGGAUGUUAUUUUGGAAGCAAACUCUUCAUAUGCAGAUAGAAAAUCCUUUGGUUUGAGCCUUCAGGCAGCAUGUUGCCUUUGAUUAAAGUGAAACCAUGUGCUAACCAUGUUAGUGAGGGUUUUGGAGUGACGCGUUUGCUGCGGGUGAUGUUCCAUGUGGGGAUUUCAUGGCUCUAUGCAGAGGACCUUUG